GAUGAAGAACGUAGCGAAAUGCGAUACGUAAUGUGAAUUGCAGAAUUCAGUGAAUCAUCGAGUCUUUGAACGCACAUUGCGCCCCCUGGUAUUCCGGGGGGCAUGCCUGUCCGAGCGUCAUUGCUGCCCUCAAGCACGGCUUGUGUGUUGGGCCUCCGUCCUCCUCCCGGGGGACGGGCCCGAAAGGCAGCGGCGGCACCGCGUCCGGUCCUCGAGCGUAUGGGGCUUCGUCACCCGCUCUUGUAGGCCCGGCCGGCGCUUGCCGACACAUCAAUCUUUUUUCCAGGUUGACCUCGGAUCAGGUAGGGAUACCCGCUGAACUUAAGCAUAUCAAGCGGAGGA
rnacentral:misc_RNA from 1 species